rnacentral:rRNA from 1 species
AUUGAACGCUGGCGGCAGGCCUAACACAUGCAAGUCGAGCGGAUGAAGGGAGCUUGCUCCUGGAUUCAGCGGCGGACGGGUGAGUAAUGCCUAGGAAUCUGCCUGGUAGUGGGGGAUAACGUCCGGAAACGGGCGCUAAUACCGCAUACGUCCUGAGGGAGAAAGUGGGGGAUCUUCGGACCUCACGCUAUCAGAUGAGCCUAGGUCGGAUUAGCUAGUUGGUGGGGUAAAGGCCUACCAAGGCGACGAUCCGUAACUGGUCUGAGAGGAUGAUCAGUCACACUGGAAAUGAGACACGGUCCCGACUCCUACGGGAGGCAGCAGUGGGGAAUAUUGGAAAAUGGGGGAAAGCCUGAUCCAGCCAUGCCGGGUGUGUGAAGAAGGGCUUCGGAUUUUAAAGCACUUUAAGUUGGGAGGAAGGGCAGUAAGUUAAUACCUUGCUGUUUUGACGGUACCAACAGAAUAAGCACCGGCUAACUUCGUG